UUUGGAGGAUCACGGCCAUGGAGACUUUUGUUCGGGAUGGUAAGGAUUACAACAUAUAAAAAAUCCAGAAAGUUUCGCUGAAACCCAAUUUCCAUAAGAUUAUGGCGGGGUUCUUUAUGAAUAACUUUC